GGCACAGUGGCGGAGUGGUCUAACGCGUGUGACUCGAAUCUUCUCAAUCUUGGGUUGAUCACAUCUCUUCGGAGGCGCCCGUUCGAAUCGGGCCUGUGUCG